CUAGAUCACAUCAUCAGAACUUCACCCCUUCCUCCCGUGAGGGACAAGGGCGGUUGACAUGGCGUCUCCCGGCGGCUCCGACGGAGCACCCACGGGCAAAGACCUUCCUCAGCCCUCCACAUCCAGCUCCGGAUCCAGGUCCAGCAUAAACAGUACCCUGGGUACCAAGUUAGAAAAUGCAAAGAGACUAUCAAUACAACAUUUGGAAGUCAUCACGGAUAGUUUCUCCCCUGAACGAGUAAUUGGUCGAGGUGGAUACGGAACGGUCUACAAGGGUGUGAAUGGCGAUGGGAAACAUGUUGCUGUGAAGGUGCUCCAUAAAAAUACGACAGGAACUGACAAUGGUGAAUUCAAACAUGAGUUUGAAAGUCUGAUGAGGCUCAAGCAUCACAACAUUGUCCAGUUAGUUGGCUACUGCUACGAGACACAACAUAAGCCUAUGCUGCACGAGGGAGAAACCAUUUUUGCUGAAGAUAUAUACAGAGCGCUCUGCUUUGAGUAUAUGCAAAAUGGGAGCCUUAAAAGGCAUAUUUCUGUGGAAUGUGAGGGACUUGAAUGGCACGCGCGCUACAAACUUAUCAAGGGAACUUGCGAAGGAUUGAAAUACCUCCACGAAGAAUUCAAAGAACCACUUUACCAUUUGGACCUAAAACCUGACAACAUAUUGCUAGAUGAGAAUAUGGUACCGAAACUUGCUGAUUUUGGUUCGGCGAAGCUCUUUGACAAAGAGCUAACCAUGGUUAUCACACAUCCUGUUGAAGCAACACGUGGAUACAUACCCCAAGAAUACAUAUCUGAUGGCGUCGUCUCGAAAAAGUUUGACAUAUUCAGCUUGGGUGUUGUAAUGACAAAGAUAAUUGCAGGGCCCAAAGCCAUCUCCUUACGUGUCGACAUGGGUUACCAAGCCUUUCUUGAUCAGGUACAAAAAAACUGGAGGAACAGGCUGCAGGAAACAUGGCUUAAUUCUGAACCAGUAGAAGCAUAUUGCCGACAAGUGAACAUAUGCAUAGCAAUAGCGCUGAGCUGCACGGUUGAUGAUAAGAACAAAAGACCCAGUAUACUGGACAUCAUUGAUAAACUGAACGAGACUGAAACCAUAAUCAAAGAGUUGGACCCGGAUCACCGAUGGACAAGCCAACACAUUACUAUUGGUAGUACAUCAAAGAAUGAAGCUACUCCUUUGAAAGAGAAGAAUAUUGAGAAGGUUACGGAACCAAGAAGUUUUUCUCUCCGAGUACUAGAAGAGAUCACAAAUGAUUUCUCCAAGGAGCGAGCAAUUGGUCAAGGCGCGUAUGCAAAAGUUUACUUGGGGAAGCUUGAAAAUGGAGAAGAAAUUGCCGUGAAGUUGCUGCAUGAUAACACGCUAUCAAUUAACGAUGAGCUAUUCCAAAAUGAGUUUGAUAACCUCAGGAAGCUCAACCAUCCGAACAUUGUACGGUUUGUUGGCUACUGUUAUGAAACACAACGUCAACAUUUGGAGUUCCACGGUAGAACAGUUUUUGGUGGAACAACAUAUAGAGUGCUCUGUUUCGAGUAUAUGCGCAUGGGGAGCCUUCAAAGACAUCUUUCUGACGAAUCUUGUGGACUUGACUGGCAAAGUCGUUACGAAAUUAUCAAGGGGACAUGUGAGGGUUUGAAGUACCUACACGAAGGAUUAAAAGAAUCACUUUACCAUUUGGGCCUAAAUCCCGACAAUAUACUGCUAGAUGAGAAUAUGAUUCCAAAACUUAUUGAUUUUGGUUCGGCCAAGAUCUUUGAUGAAGAACUAACCAGGGUCACGCAGAGUCGUUGGGGAACAAUGGGAUACAUGCCGCCCGAAUACUUAUUCAAUGGCCACGUCUCGAAGAAGUUUGACAUAUUCAGCUUGGGUGUUAUAAUGACAAAGAUAAUUGCAGGGCCUGAGGGUCGCGUUAGAAGUGCUGAAAUGCCUUAUCAAGAGUUUCUUGAUCAACUCUACACUUUGACACACAGGUACAUGAAAACUGGAGGAACAGGCUGGAACCAACGUGUACUUCUUCGCAGACACUAGAUGCAUACUGCGAGCAAGUGAUUAUAUGCACUCAGAUAGCACUGAGCUGCGUGGAGGAGCACAGGGACAAAAGGCCCAGUAUAGUCGACAUUAUUGACAUACUCUAUGCGACUGAAAGUAUGAUUGAGGAGGCUAGACGUCCGUGAUCGUGGAGCUGUGCCGCCUGCUGGAGGGGGAGCUCGGGAACGCGGACCAAACCGAAAGUGUAGCGGCUACUACUUUGUGGAUGUGCGGAUAUCGGCCUCCCCGGUGUGUUAUGCCGGCGCCGCCUUCGUCUUUCUAAUCGGGCUCUUUGUGGAUCAUCACUGCUCCUACUUCUACAAAAAGGCCAGCUCUGCCAACAACGUACGGAUCACCGCUUAUCAUCUACGUACGCCGGCCGUCUUCACCGCCGGCAUGGCGCUUCCUAUGAAUGUCUUAUAUGCACGCUUGGUUAGCUUGCCUUAUGCUUUGUCUUUAUUAUUUUCGCACAUUUGGCCUAUAAUUUUUUUGAAAAGGUUAUCGUCAUAACCGUUGAAACUUAAUCUAAAUUCCGCUACACUGCUGUAUGCGGCACGGUCUUA